AUUGAACGCUGGCGGAAUGCUUUACACAUGCAAGUCGAACGGUAGAGGGGGCAACCCCUCGAGAGUGGCGAACGGGUGAGUAAUAUAUCGGAACGUGCCCAGUCGUGGGGGAUAACGUAGCGAAAGUUACGCUAAUACAGCAUACGAUCUAAGGAUGAAAGCGGGGGAUCGCAAGACCUCGCGCGAUUGGAGCGGCCGAUAUCAGAUUAGGUAGUUGGUGGGGUAAAGGCUCACCAAGCCAACGAUCUGUAGCUGUUCUGAGAGGACGACCAGCCACACUGGAACUGAGACACGGUGCAGACUCCUACGGGAGGCAGCAGUGGUGAAUUUUGGACAAUGGACGCAAGUCUGAUCCAGCCAUUCCGCGUGCAGGAUGAAGGCCCUCGGGUUGUAAACUGCUUUUGUACGGAACGAAAAGGUCUCUCUUAAUACGGGGGACUCAUGACGGUACCGUAAGAAUAAGCACCGGCUAACUACGUGCCAGCAGCCGCGGUAA
rnacentral:rRNA from 1 species